AGGCCAUGCUUGUUUGCUUGGAAUUGGGAAGAAAAAGGACAAAGUGUAACCAACACAUCCCAUAAGCCAUGCUGUUACCACAAGACAGCAGGAACUUGAUCUUUUUCUGUCAAAACAAUUCUAAGAGCAGCCAUCACACAAAAAACAGAAAUUGACUCAUGCUCAAAAAACCACUUUGGCCAUUGCAAACAAUACAAAGAAACAGUAAAUGAUACAAUCAUUUUUCUGUCAUGAAAAAGCCAAUAGCAACAACUAACCACCUCCAACUGCAGCAAAAGACCAAC
rnacentral:lncRNA from 1 species